AAAUUUCGGAUGUUCUCACAAACAACAAGUCGCUGCCACAAGCUCUGUCCUCGUCAAUGCCGUCUUCAUCCGCUGCGAUGACGUCCGAGGAGGAUGAAUCGCCGCCCUAACCUCACUUCACCGCGCCAUUCUCUACCCGCUUAACUCCCUCAUCAUCACUCACUCCGCCUCAAUUUUAGCUCAAGGAGGUCUCAGCUCCUCUCUAACAAGACACUCCCUUUCAUUUCAUUCCAAAUCGCGACUUCACAAAGAGAACCUCUCAAAUUGACUGUGCACAACAGUACGGUCAUGGAAUUGAUGAGAGGAUUGAGAAAUCAAUUAACUGAGCUCAUAUUUGGUUUGGCUGUUCAAGAUUUGGCUCCAGUGAGCUUGGGUUUAUGAAUUUAUAUAUGGUUUAUCUCACAGCCUUUCAAGAUACAAGCUAAAAUUUAGCCCUGAUAAGUCCAAGCAAUUAGUCUAUUGGACGAUCUUGAUAAAGAGCUAAACACAUAUGCAAUGAGGGUAUGAGAAUGGUAUGGUUGGCAUUUUUCUGAGCUUGCAAAGAUAGUGCAGGACAGUAUCCUUUAUGCCAAAACAGUGAAGUUGAUGGGUAGCCGCACAAAUGCUGCAAAGCUGGACUUCUCUGAGGUAUGUUUCCAUUCCGUUUAUUAUUUUAUUUUUGAUGAUUAAUGUAUGGGGAACGCCUAUCUUGUCCUGAGCGACGUAAUUUGACUCAAUUACUAAGCAAUAAAGAGAAAGAUGAGAAAUUACAGAGAACAAUAAAAAAUGAGCAAAUACCAAUUUUGGUCCCACGACUAUUAUCAAAAUGACAAUUUUGGUCCACAUGUUUAAUUUCUACCAAUUUUGGUCCCACGACUAUUAUUUUAAUACCAAUUUCGGUCCCACGACUAUAGUUUUAGUGCCAAAAUUCAUGGCGUUGCCUUCCGUUUAAAACAUGCCGAAAUCUAGAAUUUUUAAAGGUAUUUUCGUCCUUUUCAACUCAAUAUUCAAAUUUGAGCAUAAAUAAAGAAAUUUAAGCCCUAGGAUCGAUCACAGUUCACAGUUUUCUCCCCCAAUUAAGGUAAAAUGAGGAGGAAAACUGUAAAUAAUUUUGAUCGAUCUUAGGGCUUACAUCCAUUUAUUCAUGCACAAAUUGGAAUAUUAUGUUGAAAAUGACAAAAAUACCCUUAACAAUUUUAUAUUUUUAACGUAUUAAAUGGAUGUGUGACCGGCGCGAUGAAUUUUGACACUAAAAUAA